rnacentral:rRNA from 1 species
UCGGGAAUUUUGGGCAAUGGGCGCAAGCCUGACCCAGCAACGCCGCGUGAAGGAUGAAAUCCCUCGGGAUGUAAACUUCGUAAGAACAGGAAGAAUAAGUGGGGGCGAAUAUCCCCCAUGAUGACGGUACUGUUUGUAAGCUCCGGCUAACUCCGUGCCAGCAGCCGCGGUAAUACGGGGGGAGCAAGCGUUGUUCGGAUUUACUGGGCGUAAAGGGCGCGUAGGCGGUCACGACAAGUCAGUUGUGAAAUCUCUGGGCUUAACUCAGAACGGUCAACUGAUACUGUCGGACUAGAGUGCAGAAGGGGCAACUGGAAUUCUCGGUGUAGCGGUGAAAUGCGUAGAUAUCGAGAGGAACACCUGCGGCGAAGGCGGGUUGCUGGGCUGACACUGACGCUGAGGCGCGAAAGCUAGGGGAGCGAACGG